GAUGAACGCUAGCGGCAGGCUUAAUACAUGCAAGUCGAGGGGCAGCAGGACUGUAGCAAUACAGUUGCUGGCGACCGGCAAACGGGUGCGGAACACGUACGCAACCUUCCUUCAAAUGGGGGAUAGCCCACCGAAAGGUGGAUUAAUACCCCGUAAUAUUUUUCAGUGGCAUCACUGGAUCAUUAUAGCUCCGGCGUUUG
rnacentral:rRNA from 1 species